rnacentral:rRNA from 1 species
AGAAUGAACGUUGGCGGCGUGGAUUAGGCAUGCAAGUCGAACGGAUCCGGUCUUCGGACCGGGUUAGUGGCGCAAGGGUGAGUAAGGCGACGGUAACCAACCCCGAGAUUGGGUAUAGCCGCGGGAAACUGCGGGUAAUCCCCAGCGAUGCGUCGGGCCGGCAUCGGCCUGACGUCAAAGUUUCAACGUCUUGGGACGGGCUGUCGUGGUAUUAGGUAGUUGGCGGGGUAAUGGCCCACCAAGCCUUCGAUGCCUACCGGGCGUGCGAGCGUGGCCCGGCACACUGGGACUGAGACACUGCCCAGACACCUACGGGUGGCUGCAGUCGAGAAUCUUCGGCAAUGGGCGCAAGCCUGACCGAGCGACGCCGCGUGGAGGAUGAAGGCCUUCGGGUUGUAAACUCCUGUCGAGGGGGAGGAAGGGGAAACCUUGACCUAUCCCUGGAGGAAGCGACGGGCUAAGUUCGUGCCAGCAGCCGC